GUGGCAUGGGGACAGGAGAGGAAGGGGACUUCCGUGUCCCGAUGGGCUACCCUAUGGGAGAACCCCGGGGCAAUAGUACACAACAACAGCCUGUGUUCUCUGAAGAGCCCCUGCCCUUUGUGUCCCCCAGGUCAAAGUCCAGCUGAGCUCCUGGCUCUGACGCUUGCUGUCCUUUGGGAUCUCAGGAGGUUGCAAAGCUCUCACUCCAACUGUGGACUAUUUCCAGGUUUGCUUUUCUGAUCCUUUGGUAUUAAGUGGCGCGGUUCCUCAGCCUAUUAGAAGCCAGGAGGCUUUCAUUACCAGAGCUGAAGUGCACAUGGCUUGAACUUGGAGAGGGAGGUACUCAGCAGUCAGGAACUAAGGGAUGCUUUGCUCACGUGUGUCUCCAGCUCGAAGCUGGUACUGAGUCAAUGAGGACAUCAGAUAAUCAUUUGGGAAAUGGUUAUUCGCUGGUUCCUGACUCACAGUCUGAGGAGGAUGACAAUUUCAAGGUUCUCACAGAGUGAACAAAUCGUGACAGCAGAGAUGGUUGCUGUGGCCAUGUCAGGAGCAGGCAGAGGAGCAGGGGAGGGUCAGAGCAGCUGUGCAUCGGAUCUGGAGUCUGAGCUGAACAGAGCAAGAGGAAGAUCUGGCCUGAAGAAGGCAAGAUGAGAGCUGAAUUCUGCAACAAGACGUGUGGCCUUUUGAUGCACUGAGGGGUUGCCCUGUACCGGACAUGGUUACUGAAAGUGUCUAGGCUGCAGAGUAUCUUCCGAUGGAAAUCAUUCAGUCCCUCAGUUCCUCUGCCCUGACACAGUGUAUUGGCAAGCUUGCUGGCAUCGAAGAUGGAACCACACAGGGGAUUUAUUUUGUCCUUCAGUCUGCAGCUGCAUGAAAGAUCAUGGGACGGAAGGGUCGGCGGGCCAUCUCACCACAUCCUUUCCCCUUCUCACCCAAAGUAUUAGCCCCAGAUAGAGGGUGGGCAGAUUCCGUAUUGGAAGCUGGAGUUAGUAUGCACAAUUACCAGCUAAGCACCAGGACUGUGAAUGGUGUGUUUGUUUUGACUUAACCCUCCUCCAUCCCAGAUGCCCCUGGAGGAGUACAAAUUGAUAUUAGCGUACAUUAAUCAGACUCAGCAAUUUGGGAAGUGGCUGAGCCCACACAUCAAAAGCAUGGGGAGGACUGAGAGGAGUGAUAACGAGAGCUAGACAUCACAAGUCUCAGAGACAUAACUUGAUCAGAGGGCUGAGGUUGAGCUCUGGGAUGCCCAGCUGCCUCUGUUUCUCCAGCCUCCCGACUCUCCCUAUAUAAUCUACUGACUGAUGAGCUGGAAGACAGGAUUUUUUUUUAGGGUGUUAAUCCAUUGUCUUCUCAGAUUGCCAGGUCUCUAAAUAAAACACAGCUGAAAGACUGAAUUUCUGUUUCUGCUCAUUGGCAUUUGUGAUGGCAGAGCUAUCGGAUUCUGUAUGCCAGUUGCAGAAUGAUGCAUGGUACUAUUGGGCAUUUUAAAGAGUAAGAGAUCAUCUAUAGGAAAUAUCUGGGGUGUUUCUCCUGGUCUUGAGACAUCAUCUUGUUUUUUUUUCUUCUUUUUCACAGCUGUAUUUGAGGUGAUAUCAAGAGAAUCCAGAGCUCAUUGUAUACGUGC